rnacentral:rRNA from 2 species
UAGAGUUUGAUCCUGGCUCAGGACGAACGCUGGCGGCGUGCCUAAUACAUGCAAGUCGAGCGAAUUUCUUUGGAGCUUGCUCCAAAGAAGUUAGCGGCGGACGGGUGAGUAACACGUGGGCAAUCUGCCCGUAAGACUGGGAUAACUCCGGGAAACCGGGGCUAAUACCGGAUAAUCCCGACUCUCUCCUGAGAGUCGGUUGAAAGAUGGUUUCGGCUAUCACUUACGGAUGAGCCCGCGGCGCAUUAGCUAGUUGGUGAGGUAACGGCUCACCAAGGCGACGAUGCGUAGCCGACCUGAGAGGGUGAUCGGCCACACUGGGACUGAGACACGGCCCAGACUCCUACGGGAGGCAGCAGUAGGGAAUCUUCCGCAAUGGACGAAAGUCUGACGGAGCAACGCCGCGUGAGUGAAGAAGGUUUUCGGAUCGUAAAACUCUGUUGUUAGGGAAGAACACGUACGAGAGUAACUGCUCGUACCUUGACGGACCAACCAGAAAG